GAGAGAGAAAGACAGCAGUGGAAAUGUACUUAGACUUCAUUAUUUUAACAACUCUUCUCUUCCAACUUGUUAGUCCUAUAGGGGCAGUAUUUCAUUUUUGGAUAAAAAGACGUGCCCGUUUUUAGCGCAAUAUUUUGUCACGAAAAGAUGCUCGACUAUGCUUGGAAUUGAUAGUUUUGGAAAGAAGACACUCUGACGUUUCCAGAACUGCAAAGAUUUUCACUGUGAGUGCCAUAGAACAAAAUCUACAGGCAAAACCAAGAUGUUUGAGCGACCAGGAAAUCAACAGGAUUUCUGAAGGCACGUUUUCCAUGAUCGCCUUAUAUGGCUGUGAAUGCGACAGGAAUGAACGGACACUUCCUAUCGUUUCCCCCAGGUGUCUGCAGCAUUGUGACGUAUUUGUAGGCAUAUCAUUGGAAGAUUGACCAUAAGAGACUACAAUUGCCAAGUGUCCCGCACGGUGUCUGCGUGGCAAUUGGUGCGCAAAAGUCAGCUACCAGUAUUUUUCCAUCCGAAUCAGAGAAGAAUGCACGCUUCCAGGGACGGCAUUUCAAUGAAGAGAUAUAUGACAAAACACCUUGAGGAUUGAUUCAAACAACGUUUUCCAUGUUUCAGUCGAUAUUAUGGAGUUAAUUCGGAAAAAAGUUUGACGUUUAGGUGACUGAAUUUUCGGUUAGUUUCGGUAGCCAAAUGCAUAGUAACAAAACGGAACGUUGUGUCCUACACAAGCAUCUUUCAGGAAAAACUGGACAUCUGCUAUGUAACUGAGAGUCUCCUCAUUGAAAAAUCUGAAGUUCUUCAAAGGUCAUUACCCUGUCUAGCCUGCCAGAAAUGUGUGAGGGUGAAGACUGUGGUGUCGAAGUUGAAGCCCAUCAAAGUUGUUUCGUCAUGGCAUAUGAUCGUGGUGGACUUCACUAAAUCCAGGAAUGGCAACAGCUGGUGUCUGACGGCGACCGAUCACAUUACCAAGUGGGUGGAGGUAAUGCCUAUUCAGGCCAGUAAAGUAAGAGUAUGUGCUUAACUCUAUAUUCCCUUCUGUAACCCAAUAAAAAGGGUGCUUGGAACAACAACAACACAUAUUUUUGUUUUGUAUUAUACCCAUCUUGGACGAGACUGGCGAGGCCACCCAGGGUUCUCCUGAGGUCGUCUUGAGUGACCGACGUCAUGAACACUGGAACAAGGUUUGGUGAACGGACCAACCAGACCCACCUUCAUACACGGACUGAGAAGGAUGUAGAGGUUUUUGACCAGUCCCUCGGAUACUCAAAAAGUUCUACAGCUGCACCAUUGAGAGCAUCUUGACUGGCUGCAUCACCGCUUGGUAUGGCAACUGCUUGGCAUCCGACCUCAAGACGCUACAGAGGGUAAAUCAAAUCAAAGUUUAUUUAUCACGUGCACCAAAUACAACAGUGAAAUGCUUACUUACAGGCUCUAACCAAUAGUGCAAAAAAUGUAUUUUUGAACAAUAUUUAUUUUACCAGGCAAGUCAGUUAAGAACAAAUUCUUAUUUUCAAUGAUGGCCUAGGAACAGUGGGUUAACUGCCUGUUCAGGGGCAGAAUGACAGAUUUGUACCUUGUCAGCUUGGGAUUUGAACUUACAACCUUCUGCUUACAAGGCCACCGCUCUAACCACUAGACUACCCUGCCGCCCCAAUAGGUAGGUAAAGAAAUAAAACAACAGUGAAACAUAACAGUAGAGAGGCUAUAUACAGUAGCAAGGCUAUGAAAGUAGCGAGGCUACAUACAGACACCGGUUAGUCGGGCUGAUUGAGGUAGUAUGUACAUGUAGAUAUGGUUAAAUCUGCACACAAUGCAGAUAGUCCGGGUAGCCAUUUGAUUACCUGUUCAGGAGUCUAAUGGCUUGGGGGUAAAAACCGUUGAGAAGCCUUUUUGUACUAGACUUGGCACUCCAGUACCGCUUGUCAUGCGGUAGUAGAGAGAACAGUCUAUGACUGGGGUGGCUGGGGUCUUUGACAAUUUUUAGGGCCUUCCUCUGACACCGCCUGGUGUAGAGGUCCUGGAUGGCAGGCAGCUUAGCCCCAGUGAUGUACUGGGCCGUAUGCACUGCCCUCUGUCGUGCCUUGCGAUCGGAGGCUGAGCAAUUGCCGUAGCAGGUAGUGAUGCAACCGGUCAGGCAGGAUGCUCUCGAUGGUGCAGCUGUAGAACCUUUUGAGGAUCUGAGGACCCAUGCUAAGUCUUUUCAGUCUCCUUAGGGGGAAUAGGCUUUGUCGUGCCCUCUUCACAGCUGUCUUGGUAUGUUUGGACCAUUCUAGUUUGUUGGUGAUGUGGACACCAAGGAACUUGAAGCUCUCAACCUGCUCCACUACAGCCCCAUCGAUGAGAAUGGGAGCGUGCUUGGUCCUCCUUUUCCUGUAGUCCACAAUCAUCUCCUUAGUCUUGGUUACGUUAAGCGACAGGUUGUUAUUCUGGCACCACCCGGCCAGGUCUUUGACCUCCUCCCUUUAGGCUGUCUCGUCGUUGUCGGUGAUUGUGCCUACCACUAUUGUGUCGUCUGCAAACGUAAUGAUGGUGUUGGAGUCGUGCCUGGCCACAGUGUUGCUACUGUGAUGACCCUCCCCCUCUGUCUGCCGUAUUCUCUCUUUGUUCUUGUUUCCUUAUUAGGAUGCCGGUGGGCGGAGUUGGGAGGGUCGUCAGCUUCAUGGGAAACACCUGGGCCUGGUAUGUCCCAGGAUAAAUACACCACUUCCCCAGUCAUGGAAGAGACUCUCUCCAUGCAGACACCUUUACAGAUUUUGUUGUGUUUCUUGGUGGUUUUUUGGUUGUUUGCUUUGGCAUCUUUCAACACCCUGCAUUAUCACAUUCAUGCAUGCAAAACACUCACUUACACUACUGAUUACUGAUUACA